rnacentral:rRNA from 1 species
UAGGGAAUCUUCGGCAAUGGGGGCGAACCCUGACCGAGCAACGCCGCGUGAGUGAAGAAGGUUUUCGGAUCGUAAAGCUCUGUUGUAAGAGAAGAACGUGUGUGAGAGUGGAAAGUUCACACAGUGACGGUAACUUACCAGAAAGGGACGGCUAACUACGNGCCAG